GGGUUUAGAACGUCGUGAGACAGUUCGGUCCCUAUCUGCCGUGGGUGUACGAGUCUUGAGAGGAGCUGUCCCUAGUACGAGAGGACCGGGAUGGACGCGCCUCUGGUGGACCGGUUGUGGCGCCAGCCGCAUUGCCGGGUAGCUAUGCGCGGACGGGAUAACCGCUGAAAGCAUCUAAGCGGGAAGCCCCCCUCAAAACCAGGACUCGCUGAGAACCGUGGAAGACCACCACGUCGAUAGGCUGGGUGUGGAAGCGUGGCAACACGUGAAGCUUACCAGUACUAAUCGUUCGAUAGGCUUGAUC
rnacentral:rRNA from 1 species